rnacentral:lncRNA from 1 species
GAAAGAUUUUAACUGAAUUAUUCAUUAAAAACGCUCUGAUUGAAGCUUAAAUAUUAAAAAUCUAUCAAAUAUGCCAAAAAACUUCACUUUUCAGAUGGUUUUUGUCCAAAAUGAAAGUAGCCGCAUCCAUGUUCAUCCUCAACCUUUAUAUAUGAUAUGCAUUAUCAUCAAAUACAACUUACAUUUCAAUAUUAUGAAUGAACACGAAUGCGGCCACUUUCAUUUAAGACAGAAACUGUCUAAAUUUUACUAAAAUGCUUAAAUUGUGAAGAUUUCAGUAAUUUAGCAUGACUUAAUGAUGCUAGUACACGAUAUAUGUGCAUUGUAUUGUAAAAAAAAGAUCAUAUUUAUGUAGCAGAAGCAUUCUACUUUCCAAUAAAUAGCUAAAAGAUUACAUUUUCACAAUUUUGUAAAACUGCCAUAUUUUGGGGCCAAAAAGGGGUCUUGCUGAACCUACUUCUUUUCAUAUAUCAUUUGACUUUUAAAAAAUGAAAAAAAGUGAAGUCGAACAGCAAAGGCUUACUUGCUAGUGUGUCCUUUUUCAGUCAGGUACUCUGCCAUUUCAAAAUUCUUAAUAGAACACUUUAACAUACUGUUACCUUAAAAGUCAAAUGUAUAUACCUUGUAAUAUAUAAAAAGGAUCUACCUUGAUCUAUAAUGGUUUACUUUUACAAAUUGUGACUUGGACAGAGAGUUGUCUCAUUGACACUCAUAACAAAUCUUCUUAUAUCUAUUUAUCAACAACAAAUUGAAAUUAAAUAUUUGUAAGGAAAUUAUUUAAUGUAUUUAAAGAUUUUCACAUAGCUGUUUGUAGUUAUUGUUACCUAUUUCAUGCACAGCAGGUACGAAAAAAAUGAAAUGGAAACAAUUGUUUUUGUACAGGGUAAUUGUAAAGGCAAAUAUUGUACUGAUAUUUUUGUAGAUGUAUACAGCUAUAGUUUAAAUAUUUUUUUGAAUUAAAUUAAGUUAGUGAAUUCAGAUACCAUCUUUGUUAAUUGUUAAUACAAAAAGAAAUAUUUAUUAGAACCAGUUGUAUUUGAA